rnacentral:rRNA from 1 species
GCAUAUCAAUAAGCGGAGGAAAAGAAACUACCAAGGAUUCCCCUAGUAACUGCGAGUGAAGCGGGAAAAGCUCAAAUUUAAAAUCUGGCAGUCUUUGGCUGUCCGAGUUGUAAUCUGGAGAAGCGUCUUCCGCGCUGGACCGUGUACAAGUCUCCUGGAACGGAGCGUCAUAGAGGGUGAGAAUCCCGUCUUUGACACGGACUACCAGUGCUCUGUGAUGCGCUCUCAAAGAGUCGAGUUGUUUGGGAAUGCAGCUCAAAAUGGGUGGUAAACUCCAUCUAAAGCUAAAUAUUGGCGAGAGACCGAUAGCGAACAAGUACCGUGAGGGAAAGAUGAAAAGCACUUUGGAAAGAGAGUUAAACAGUACGUGAAAUUGCUGAAAGGGAAACGCUUGAAGUCAGUCGCGUUUGCUAGGACUCAGCCUGGUUUCGGCCUGGUGCACUUCCUAGUAAACGGGCCAGCAUCACUUUUGGCUGCGGGAAAAAGGUUAGAGGAAUGUGGCACCCUCGGGUGUGUUAUAGCCUCUAGCUGUAUACCGUGGCUGGGAGUGAGGAACUCAGCACGCCUUCUGGCGGGGCUUCGGCCACCUUCGUGCUUAGGAUGCUGGCGUAAGGCUUUAAACGACCCGUCUUGAAACACGGACCAAGGAGUCUAACAUGCCUGCGAGUGUUUGGGUGGAAAACCCGAGCGCGUAAUGAAAGUGAUAGUUGGGACCUCUGUCGUGGAGGGCACCGACGCCCGGACCAGACCUACUGUGACGGAUCCGCGGUAGAGCAUGUAUGUUGGGACCCGAAAGAUGGUGAACUAUGCCUGAAUAGGGUGAAGCCAGAGGAAACUCUGGUGGAGGCUCGUAGCGAUUCUGACGUGCAAAUCGAUCGUCAAAUUUGGGUAUAGGGGCGAAAGACUAAUCGAACCAUCUAGUAGCU